rnacentral:rRNA from 1 species
AUUGAACGCUGGCGGCAGGCUUAACACAUGCAAGUCGAGCGACGGGCGGCCGGGUGGGUAAUUUCUGGGAACCUCCUGGAGGGGGGGGAUUAACUCCUGGAAACGGUAGCUAAUCCCGACUACAAUCGAAUGUGCCCAAAGGGGAUUGGCUGGUAGGUGGGGAAAUGGCUCACCUAGGCGACGAGCCCUGGCUGGUCUGAGAGGAUGACCAGCCACCCUGGAAAUGAGACACGGUCCAGACGCCUACGGGCGGCAGCAGUGGGGAAUAUUGCACAAUGGGCGCAAGCCUGAUGCAGCCAUGCCGCGUGUGUGAAGAAGGCCUUCGGGUUGUAAAGCACUUUCAGCGAGGAGGCGUUACUCGCAGAAGAAGCACCGGCUAACUCCGUGCCAGCAGCCGCGGUAAUAC